GAAUUCCUUGUGCUUCAGCCCAGCCCCAGGAAAACAGUUUCAGGUGCUAGUUACAAUCCUCACUGGACCCAGGAGUUUGAGCUAGGGAUAUCUUAAAACCAGGAUUCCAGAUGAGAUGUUCCCAUUAGAGAAACCCAGAGAAGCCAGAAUACCUGAGACUUGGGCGGAAGGAAAAGACGAAUAUGAAGAAUUCAAAGAAACAUGGGAAGACAUAUGAAGUGAUAUGAAAUGAAGGCAG